CCCUGAUUCAUGAGAAUUCUAGGCAGCUGCAGCUCAAUUGUCCAUUUGCGCUCUUGAGCAGCCUCCCCAGUUCUACUUUCCACUGCAUCUAAGAUUCUCCUCAGUCAGAGCAACUCCCUCAGCUAGAGCAACUGUCAGCAACUGCCAGUGGUCUCAACUAACUGGUGCUAGCCUCCCUGGAUUGGUGGAGAGUUUUCAAAGGAACUGGAAGAAUUCCGAGUGGGUGCUGUAAAUCCAUCCCAUCUGCCUUGGUCAUUCUGGUUGGGCAGAAAAGCAAGAUUUAUACAUUUUAAGGAUUUGGAAAUGACAACCUACAACAGACACGAUUACCAGAUGGAGGAGAUUGAAGGCAGAAGGAAAUAUGAGCUGUUGAGUCAGGGAGAUGUGCAAAAUUUAGUAGGUUUGCAGUGGGAAUCAAGGGACAGUGAGAGAUGUAGAGGAGCUGUUAUAUUCUGCAAGAGUGGAUGCACAGCUUUGAAUACCAGCAUGUUCCUGGUUCCUCAGCAUCGGAGAGUGCCUUCCAUCCACAGAGGAGCUGGCCAGCUGCUUGCAUCAGAAAUGGUCCCACUUCACCUCUAAUGAACUAACACUUUAAUGAACACAAUUCCCCUUUGCAGAACUUGCAUUUUGUAUCUUGAACUGAACUCGUGGAAAGAGAAAAAACUCCUCAAAAGUCAGGAUUUCUCACUGUACCUAUUUGGCUUUUCUUGAUCAGGCAGCAUUAAUGUAGCUGUUUUGUGACUUUAUCUGUCUGCAAUUAUAGGUGUAUCAUUUUUCUGUUUCAUGAAGCCAUCUUUUAAUCUGCUUGAAAUAUCAGAUUAUGAUGAUGUGCAUAAGAGGUUUUAAAACUUCUUUUCUUUUGUACAAUGCUUCAUGUAUUGAAAGCACACAGGGCAUGAACACACGUUAUGGUUUAUUUACCCAGAGGGAUAUGCCUGCUCUCCCCAGAUUAUGCUGGAUGUAAGCCAUGGCUCUCUCUUAAUAGAGUCAUGGUUGCCUCCAGUGAAUACUCACGGAGAUAGCUUGUAGUUAUCUGGAAGAAAUGUAGCAUAGCAUAUUUCCCUUCAUACUUGAGUUAAAACAACUUAAAUAUAACCUGUGUAAUGUAAUGGAAGGCAGGGAGAAAACUCACAUGGGAUCUGCUGU